UUCAAUGUGUCUGUUUUAAUAAUAUCAAAUGUAGUAAAUUUCAAAGAUUAAGCAGGAAGCUACUUCAUGAUGUAAAGACAUUGAAAAUGCAUUUCUAGAAAAAAUAUGAUAUUGGUUCCAUAAUUGCAUAUGUGCUUAGGAAGUGUGUUUUAGUUACUAAAUAACUUAGAAAAUUGGCUUUCUGUUUUAAAAGCAAGCGUGGCUAGUAGAAGAAACAAACAUAAAUGUGAAUCCUUUCCCACUAAGUACAGGUUGCUAACAUCCUUUUCUUAAUACCUAAAUUAGUAACAAUGAUUCAUUUUCAUUUUCAAAAUUACAUAAAUCAUACUAAACUAAACUUGAUGAUUCUUAGCAAAACUGAAUACAAAUCCUUAACUGUAAGUAUGACAUCUACAUCAACACAAACUCAGAAACAUUGCAAAUAAAAUCACAUCCACUUUCCAAGAAAACAUAUUUCUAAAAUCAUUCAAACUUUGUAAUCAAUGAAAACAUUUCUAGUGGCACUGUUAAGUACUUUUAGAAGAGGUGAAGAAAUUUACUGCAAGUGUAUCAGGCCCACUGACCUAUCUCUUAAGCAUACUUCUCAAAAUAAGGAGUCAUUCAUGAGUCCCUGGUUAAACAAGAAGGACCACACAUACUAGGAGUUGCCAUUUCUGAGGGUUACAGGUUUCUAACCAGGGCCUUCAUAGUCAACCUUCAUUCAACUCUAGGAGUUGUGUUUUAUUAUAUGGGCUCAUACAAUUGAUUCAAUCAAACUUUGUAGACAUCAACAACUGAUAAAUAGCAAAGCUGGAAUUCAAACCCAAGUUUGUGGUAUGAAAUCUCAUAUCCUUUCCAAUAACCUUAGCAUCAAGUAAGCAGUUGUGAGCCCCCACUCCUAGGCACCCUGUCACCCCAGUUAAGAAGCACCACACUCUAUAUUGCCUUUAUAUCUCUUCCUCACUCACCACCUCCCCAACACUCCUUAGAACUCUCUCUUUAAAGGUAUGGAGCUCUGGCCCUGAUAACAGGAUUGGUUGUCCUUUGAUCUGCUCUCUGCAUACCUAACAACUUCUCACACCCAACAAGACUUCCCAGGAGUCCUGCCAGUCAAGACAUAGUUAGGGAAGGGAACGAAGACAGAUUAGAAAGCUUUCAAAAGAAUGGAAGUGAAAUGUGGUAUAGGAUAAAGAGUCUCAUGUUUAAAGCGUCAGAUUUGCUUUCUCACUAUGCGAGGUUACUGGGAGUAUAGUAUUGCUUCCAUGUUAAAUGUGAUGUUUAAGUCACCUGCUCCAUCCACUGGCAGAAACCAUCAGGUUACCAUCAUAUAGAGCUUUAACUCAUCAGGGAAAAAUGGGCAAAAGAUGGUUCUGACUUUCCACAUGUACAAAAGCAAACCCUAAGCAAAAAAUAAAUGAUUUAUAGUUAAAGUUGGUGACAGCGUUUGUCUAAAGGCUAGUUGUUGAUUCACACCUGUCAAGCCAUCCUGAAAUUAUUCAAUAGUCCAUAAUAAUUUAAUAUAAUAACCAUACUUGUACUCAAACUUUUCUCUUAAUCCCAUUGCUUUUCACUCGGUCUGAUUUAAGAAAACUUUUAACUAACUUAAUAGUUAGCUUAAUAACCAAUAAUGCUAUGCCUUUUAAGUGGUUCUUAUAUUAGGUCAUUUUUAGUCAUUCAGAAUGUCUGAAUGGCCUUUAGGUACUUUUAUAGUGGGGGUUAGAUUCAUAUUUGGGUUAUAUUUUCUCAACAAUUAGAAGACUUUCAUUUUAUUAUCUCAGUUCUAUAUAUUUAUAAAUUCUAAACUGAUGUGUUUAGAUAGGAAAUAAUUCUGGAAAAAUCUUUAAUCCAUUUUAAUAGAAAGGUAGCCAAACUUUAUCUGUGCCUAUUGAAGUUUU